UGGACGAAGUCUGACGGAGCAACGCCGCGUGAGUGAUGAAGGUUUUCGGAUCGUAAAACUCUGUUGUCAGGGAAGAACAAGUGCCGGAGUAACUGCCGGCGCCUUGACGGUACCUGACCAGAAAGCCACGGCUAACUACGUGCCAGCAGCCGCGGUAAUACGUAGGUGGCAAGCGUUGUCCGGAAUUAUUGGGCGUAAAGCGCGCGCAGGCGGUUUCUUAAGUCUGAUGUGAAAGCCCCCGGCUCAACCGGGGAGGGUCAUUGGAAACUGGGAAACUUGAGUGCAGAAGAGGAGAGUGGAAUUCCACGUGUAGCGGUGAAAUGCGUAGAGAUGUGGAGGAACACCAGUGGCGAAGGCGACUCUCUGGUCUGUAACUGACGCUGAGGCGCGAAAGCGUGGGGAGCGAACAGGAUUAGAUACCCUGGUAGUCCACGCCGUAAACGAUGAGUGCUAAGUGUUAGAGGGUUUCCGCCCUUUAGUGCUGCAGCUAACGCAUUAAGCACUCCGCCUGGGGAGUACGGUCGCAAGACUGAAACUCAAAGGAAUUGACGGGGGCCCGCACAAGCGGUGGAGCAUGUGGUUUAAUUCGAAGCAACGCGAAGAACCUUACCAGGUCUUGACAUCCUUUGCCACUUCUAGAGAUAGAAGGUUCCCCUUCGGGGGACAAAGUGACAGGUGGUGCAUGGUUGUCGUCAGCUCGUGUCGUGAGAUGUUGGGUUAAGUCCCGCAACGAGCGCAACCCUUGAUCUUAGUUGCCAGCAUUCAGUUGGGCACUCUAAGGUGACUGCCGGUGACAAACCGGAGGAAGGUGGGGAUGACGUCAAA
rnacentral:rRNA from 1 species